rnacentral:rRNA from 1 species
AGAGAUGCACUGGGUGUAAAGCGUGCGCAGGCGGUUUUGUAAGACAGAGGUGAAAUCCCCGGGCUCAACCUGGGAACUGCCUUUGUGACUGCGAGGCUGGAGUGCGGCAGAGGGGGAUGGAAUUCCGCGUGUAGCAGUGAAAUGCGUAGAUAUGCGGAGGAACACCGAUGGCGAAGGCAAUCCCCUGGGCCUGCACUGACGCUCAUGCACGAAAGCGUGGAGAGCAAACA